AAAUAAUUCUAUGGUGGAGACAAAGAUACUCAGGAGAGCACCUGCAUCUCAUCUGGACCAAAAGGAAUGGACACAACUGUCUGGAUGAGCUGUGGCACAGGCAUUCUGCCAAGAAGAGGAAGCUGGCAGAAGAGGCCUUGCAAGCCAAAUGGACUAAGACACCCCACCCUUGUGAAGGCGACAGAGGACUAGAAAUAAUGAACAAAUCUGCACUGAGCAUAACCCAUGAUGCAUAGUACUGCAGAACAGUGCUGUACAGUGCUCUUCAGGGCCUCACAGGAGGUGCAGGUAAUAAAUGUAACAGUCUGAGAUCAUGUUAAAAUGUUGCUCCAUCCCUGCUUCAUCCCUUCACUAUCUGUCAUCGUGUACUAUUCAGGGUUUUUUCAUAGUAAUUAUAUAUAUUUAACAUUUUAUUACAUUGUUUAUUGCCUGUCUCUGUCAUGUGAAUAGAAAUUCCAUAAGGGCAGAAUUUUUGUCUCAUUCAGCACUCUAUUCUCAUUGCCUAAAAUCAUGUCUGGCACAUGACAGGAACUCAAAUUCCUAUCUAUCUAUCUAUCUAUCUAUCUAUCUAUCUAUCUAUCUAUCUAUCAUCUAUCUAUCUAUCUAUCUAUCUAUCUAUCUAUCUAUUUAGCUAGGUAGCUAUUUAGCUAGGUAGCUAUCUACCUACCUACCUACCUAUCAAUAUAGCUAUCCAUCCAUCCACCUACCUACCUACCUUCCUACCUAUUUAUAAUCUAUUUAAUUCUUUAUUUACUUAUGAUAGCCUAGAGAAGCUAAUGAAUUCUUAGAGGCAAUUAAUUAUCUUAAGAGUUCAGAGAAGAAAGAAGUAAACAUAUGAAAAGAUGCUUAAUUAACAUCAUUAGUCAUUACAAAACUGCAAAUUAAAAGCACAAUGAGAAACCACUAUACGCCUAUUAGAAUGGCUAAAAUUAAAAAGACUAGCCAUACCAAAUACUGCAACAAGUGGAACUCUCAAACAUUGCUAGUGGAAGUGUAAAAUGAUACAACCACUUUAAUGAUACAACCACUUUGGAAAAUGUAGUUGUAUCAUUUUGGUACUUACUUAAAAAGUUAAUCAUAUAUUUACCAUAAGAUCCAGCUAUUUAACUUCUAGGCAUUUACCCAAGAGAAAUGAAAGCAUAUGUCCACAUGCUAUGGUGUAAAUGUAUUCCCCUAAAUUCAUGUGUUAGAGAUGGAGGUGAGAGGAUCACUUGAGGCCAGGAGUUCAAGACCAGCCCGGGCAGCAUGGCAGGACCUUACUUCUACAAAACAAUUUUAAAAGUAGCUGGGCAUGAUGACACAUGCUUGUGGUCCCAGCUACUCAGGAGGAUAAGGUGGAAGGAUCACUUGAGCACCAGAGUUGGAGGCUGCAGUGAGCUAUGAAUGUGCCACUGCACCCAAGCCUGGGUGACAGAGUAAGACACUGUCUCUAAAAAGAAGAAACACAGAAACUUAAUUUACAAUGCAACAGUGUUGGGAGGGGGAGUCUUUUGGGAGGUGUUUAGCUCAUGAGUGGUCUGCCUCAUGAAUAGGUUAAUGCCCUUACAAAAGGACUUGACAGAGGAAAGUUAGCCUCUUUUUACUCUUCCUCCUUCUUCCACAUGAGGACACAGCGUUCCUCCCUUCCUGAAGACACAGCAUUCAAGGUUCCAGCUUGGAAACAGACAGUAGCCUUCACCAGAUGCUGGUGUCUUUAUCUUGGACUUCUCAGCCUUGAGAACUGUGAGAAAUGAAUUUCUGUUGUUUAUAAAUUACCCAUUCUCAGGUGUUCUGUAACAGCAGCAUAGACUAAGACACGACACUAAGAUUUAUACAUGGAUGUUCAUAGCAGCCUUGUUUGUAAUAAUAAAAAACUAGGAACAACCCAAAUGUCCAUCAGCGGUUAUAAACAAACUGUAGCGCAUCCAUGCAAUGGAACACUGCUCAGCAAUUAAAAGGAAUGCAUGACUGUGUGAAUGAAGCCAGAACAACAAAAACUGUGCAAACUGUAUGACUUCAUUUACAUAAAAUUCUAGGACAUGGAAACCAAUCAAGAGUGACAGAAAGAUCAGUGGUUGCCUAGGGGCUAGUGUCAGGGCUGCAGAGAGGGACAGAGAGGUGCCACAAAAGGAAACUUUUGGAGACAGUGAACAUGUUCAUCAUCUCAAUCAUGGUGAUGGUUUCACAGUUAUAUAUUUAUACAAAAAAAUUGAAUUGUAAAUUUUGAAUACAUGCAGUUUAUGUGUGUUAUUUAUACAUCAAUUAAAAAUGAAAAAAAUAAAAGCUACGCUUUUGGCAAUUUAAAAAUUUCAACGUUGCUCUGUGAAUAUGCAAGUCCGGCAAGACAUUUACGUGUCUUAUAGAUUAGACUGUAAUGAUAAGGCAUCUACUUCCACCUGGAAGAAGUUUUAAGAAGAAUGCUAGUUAAUGUGUAUUGAGAAUUUGUUAUGUGUCUACAGGCAGGCUAUGUAUAUACACUAUGUGAGUUAGGCCCCAAAACAAUUGUGAGGUGGUUCCUAUUAUUAUCUCCAUUUUCAGUUGAUAAAAUUGAGGCUCAGGAAAUUUAAUAACUUGCCAAAGACCUCAGGACUGCUAACUGGUAUAAUAAAAAUUUGAAAACAGGCUCAUUUGAUAGUUGAAUUGAGCCUCUUAAUUUCUAUGCUAUUGGUAAUAGGUACUUAGUUUUUAGAGAAAUUUAGAAUGGGUUGGAGGGGUUUUGGAAGGAGACAGUUGAGUCUAGUGCUAAGUAUUUACUAGGUAUUAGUAAAAUACUUAGUUCAAAUAUUAAUUUUGCAAAUCUAAAGUAUAAAGCAAUGUGUUGUGAUUCUAUACUUAGAAAUUCUUAAAACUGUCCUCUUAUAUAUUUCAAAUUUGACCUCUUUCUUCCAUCUCUACCUCUAUACAAAAAAAUAAAUGCCGUCAUAACCAGUGCCACCAUAACUUCUUGCCUGGAUAAUUGCUCAGCCUCCGGCUGGUGUUCCUUGCUUAUAUGUUCCACAUAGCAGCCAGGAUGAUCAUCUGAAACCUGAAAUAAUAUCUUAUCACUUUCUUUCUGAAAGCCAUCUAGUUUUUUUAGGACAUUUAAAAUAAAAUCCAAACUUCUAAUCCUAAUUUUACUAUGUACUUCUUUUGAAAACCCCAAAUGACAGUCUCGCUCUGUUGCCCAGGUUGGAAUGCAGUGGCUAUUCACAGAUGCAGUUGAAAAGCACUGCAGCCUUGAACUUCUGGCCUCAAGGGAUCCUCCACCUCAGCCUCCCAUGAACUGGGACUGUAGGCACACAAUACCAUGGUGGGCUUCCUACAUACUCUUCUCUGAUCUUGUCUUCUGCCAUGCUCUCCCAGACUCUCUACUCUUAGUGUUACUAACCUUCUUUCUGUUUCCCAAACACAUAAAAUGAGUUCUGCUAUGGUUUGAAUGUGUCCUCUCCAAAAUCUUGUGUUGCCAAUGUAAUAAUAUUAAGAAAUGUAACCUUUAAGAGGUGAUUAGGCAAUGAGGGCUCCUUCCUCAUGAAUGGGAUUAGGUGCUCUUCUAAAAAAAGCUUGAGAGAGGGAGUGCAGUUUGUACCCUUUUCCCUUCUUCCUUCAGCCAUGUAAGGACACAGCAUCCCCCGCCCCAGCACAGAGACUGCAACAUUCAAGGUGCCAUCUUGGAAACAGAGGCCAGACCCUCACCAAUGAACAUGCUGGUGUCUGACCUUAGACUUCCCAGCCUCCAGAACUGGGAGAAACAAAUUUCUAUUCAUUAUAUAUUAACCAGUCUGUAGUAUUCUGUUACGGCAGCACAGAAUGGACUAAGACAGGUUCCCAUCUCAUGCCUUUUGUACCUGACAUCUUCUCUUCCUGAAAUGUUGAUCCUUUAGGUUUCUGUAUAGUUCACUCUUUCUCAUUCUGGGUUCAUCCCAAUGUCGGAUCUUGCAUAACUACCCCAAGUAAAGCAGUCCCACCGUUGGCCCUGUAGCUCUGUUUUCUAUUACAUUACUAAAUUUUGUUAAUUUUCAUAGCACUUACUACUAUCUGAAAUAGUCUUAUAUAUUUAUUUGAUUAUAUCUAUCUGUCUCACCUCAAUAUGUUUUCUGUUCAUAGGACAAAAAAUGUGUCAGUCUUUCUUUACCACUGUAACCCCAGAGCUUAGAAGAAUGCUGGGCACACAAUAAGCGCUUAAUAACUAUUGAGGAACUAUACUGACUGCACGAAUAAUAAGUGGUCUGUGAUGAGAUGUAAUCCCAAACUUUGCCAAUAGGUGUUAUAGUCCAGCAACCAACAGUUGCAGACAUUAAUAUGCCAACCUGGAUGGUUGCUACCACCCAUGUGUCAGAGUCUAUGUUAAUAAUUUAUUUCUUAAUUUUUAAAUUAAAAAUUCCAUAUAGUGAAUGGCACCACAGGGACAAGCCUUGUAAAUAUGAUGUGACAUCCAAAUCACAGAAUUCCCUCUGAUUCAGUAGGCCCAAACUCACCAUCUGAACUGCUUUAUUUUUAGGGUUGCAUGAACUCAGCCUGGCCUCAGGGCUGGGGUAAAUAUUAUCUAGCAACACCUUUCCUUAUUUCCCUACAUUCUCUCUCUUUAAACAUUUCCUCUAUAAUGAUUUGUUUGGGAAAUCACCUCAGCCUAAACUCUAGUUGAAUAUUCACAAUUGCUUCUGAGCACCACAAAUCAUUUGCUUCCUUGGUGCUAUUCUGAGGAUGGAGCUUCAUAGCGCCACUCUUUGGAUUACUGAACCUGCCAACUCUCCCUUCUGGUUGCCAAGAAUUAGCAGUAUCAAUAAAUACUCAGAAAAGUCUGCCAUAAAUAAGCCAAGUUCCUACCCAUUAUAAUCAAUAAAUAAAUUAUGGUGGUGCCAGGCAGUAGCCCAUCUUGUUAGGAGGUCUGUCUACAGUUUUUUUUUAGAGCCCAGGUUUUAGGUGGCUCUUCUUGGUGGUGGGCAAGAAGCACUGGGAAGAAGCCUAGAUCAGAAGGUUGAUGGGGUCAGAAAUAAAUGGACUGACCUGUCUCUGAAUGAUGAAGCAUUUCUUUGAAAAUCUUUCUUUGUGAGGGCUGUUUCCAAGCUGCACAGAAACAGGAAACAAAAGAAUUUUCCUUUUUAUUUUCUUAACAAACAAACUAUUCCUUGGCUGUCUCUUUGUAGAUGGGUGCCGUUGACAACACAGAGAGAAGAGAGAACCUAAACAAUGAAACAAGUCCCCUGCCCACGUGCUGUCAGACACUGGAGAAAAGAACAAAACCAAAGAAAAGCCACUGAGCAAACACAAUGGCCUUGUCUUCUACCUUUCUUGUGGCACAAUGCAGGACUGGACAGCACUGUCCUCCCCAUCCCAUCUCCUUCCCUCCCUCUACUCUCACCCCCCUCCACCAGCCUUCCUGCUCCCAAAGCACGUUACUGACUAGCAGCUUGCCAGUCCAGAUUGUAGUUUUAAUCCACCAACUAGUAUUGCAGCUCAUAGAAUGGCUUUGGAUUUAUGAAACAGGCUGAGGGGAAAUAAAGUACCCUAGUUUGUAGAUAAUAAAAGCUAAGAGUGGUGCAUCCAGGGAGAGAGGUGGGGUGCCAGGGGUUCUUAGGAAGGUAGUGGUACCACCUACUGCCAGAGUCUCUUUUGAAUUGGCUUUAUCCAGGAGUCCCAAAAGCCCUUUAAACUACUUCAUGGUAGCCUUUGACAGAGAACUCUUUGGCAGUGACUUGGAGAGGGUUUAUGAAGACAGUGCUCAGGCUUUGGUCAUGACACAGGCAGAUUGGGGAUGGAGUGGUACAUGUUUGAUUACAGUGUGUGUUGAGGGGCAAGGGGGCAGGUCUUGGUACAAUGACAACUAG
rnacentral:lncRNA from 10 species